rnacentral:rRNA from 1 species
UCGGGAAUUUUGGGCAAUGGGCGAAAGCCUGACCCAGCAACGCCGCGUGAAGGAUGAAGUAUUUCGGUAUGUAAACUUCGUAAGAAUAGGAAGAAUAAAUGACGGUACUAUUUGUAAGGUCCGGCUAACUACGUGCCAGCAGCCGCGGUAAUACGUAGGGACCAAGCGUUGUUCGGAAUUACUGGGCGUAAAGCGUGCGCAGGUGGCUCCUUAAGUCAGAUGUGAAAUCCCCGGGCUUAACCUGGGAACUGCGUUUGAAACUGAGGAGCUAGAGUGUGGAAGAGGGGGGUGGAAUUCCAGGUGUAGCAGUGAAAUGCGUAGAGAUCUGGAGGAACACCAAUGGCGAAGGCAGCCCCCUGGGCUAACACUGACGCUCAUGCACGAAAGCGUGGGGAGCAAACAGGAUUAGAUACCCCCGUAGUCCCUGAGCGGGCUGGCAAGGCGCAU